rnacentral:rRNA from 1 species
CAAAGCACUUUGAAGAGAGAGUUAAAGAGGACGUGAAACCGGUAGGAUGGAAACGGAUAGAGCUAGCAAAGCUGCUCGUAUUCAGCCGAAAGCUAUGGGCUUCGGGUAGUUUGGAUGCUAACCACUCCCGAUUGUCUGUUGAGCCUAUGGUUGAGGCGCAUUUGCGGGCAAUUGCGCCGAGACUUGCGGAAGAGCGGUUGGAAGUGCUUGUAGAGGCUUCCCUCUGGGUUGUACCUGCUUGCAAAUACAACUGUUUCUACUGCUCGUAAUGGGUUUGGCCUACGGACCUAUGUGUUGUCGUCGUGUUUGGUCUGUGGGGUUGCAUGCAACUCCUAAAUCAGGCAUUGCGAUUGCUUAUGGGUUCUCAAACUCGCUCUCGGUGUAGAAGCUGGUCAUCUAUCCGACCCGUCUUGAAACACGGACCAAGGAGUUUAGCGUAUGCGCGAGUCAUUGGGUGUUGAAAACCCACAGGCGAAAUGAAAGUGAAGGCCCAGUCGCUGGGCCUACAUGCGAACGGAUGAACCUCGGUUCGUUCAUGCAGCAUGGUCCCGUUCUAAUCGCUUGCGAUGGAGCGGAGAUAGAGCGUAUGCGCUGAGACCCGAAAGAUGGUGAACUAUUCCUGAGCAGGACGAAGCCAGAGGAAACUCUGGUGGAAGUCCGAAGCGAUUCUGACGUGCAAAUCGAUCGUCUGA